rnacentral:rRNA from 1 species
AUGCACGCUGGCGGCGUGCCUAAUACAUGCAAGUCGCGCGAACAGACGAGGAGCUUGCUCCUCUGACGUUAGCGGCGGACGGGUGAGUAACACGUGGAUAACCUACCUAUAAGACUGGGAUAACUUCGGGAAACCGGAGCUAAUACCGGAUAAUAUAUUGAACCGCAUGGUUCAAUAGUGAAAGACGGUUUUGCUGUCACUUAUAGAUGGAUCUGCGCCGCAUUAGCUAGUUGGUAAGGUAACGGCUUACCAAGGCAACGAUGCGUAGCCGACCUGAGAGGGUGAUCGGCCACACUGGAACUGAGACACGGUCCAGACUCCUACGGGAGGCAGCAGUAGGGAAUCUUCCGCAAUGGGCGAAAGCCUGACGGAGCAACGCCGCGUGAGUGAUGAAGGUCUUCGGAUCGUAAAACUCUGUUAUUAGGGAAGAACAAAUGUGUAAGUAACUAUGCACGUCUUGACGGUACCUAAUCAGAAAGCCACGGCUAACUACGUG